rnacentral:rRNA from 1 species
AUUGCACGCUGGCGGCAGGCCUAACACAUGCAUGUCGAACGAGUGGCGGACGGGUGAGUAAUGUCUGGGAAACUGCCUGAAGGAGGGGGCUAACUACUGGAAACGGUAGCUAAUACCGCAUACCAUCAGCUGUGCCCAGAUGGGAUUUGCUAGUUGGUAGGGUAACGGCUCACCUAGGGGACGAGCCCUAGCUGGUCUGAGAGGAUGACCAGCUACGAGGGAACGCAGACACGGUCCAUACUCCUACGGGAGGCAGAAGUGGGGAAUAUUGCACAAUGGGCGCAAGCCUGAUGCAGCCAUGCCGCGUGUAUGAAGAAGGCCUUAGGGUUGGAAAGUACUUUCAGCGGGGAGGCGUUACCCGCAGAAGAAGGACCGGAUAACUCCGUGCCAGCAGCCGCGGUAAUAC